CAGUCUUAUCCAAUGAGAUUCAAUUAUUACAUUAAGCACCGCCUUCCAUUCGUGUUGUCGUCAGCCAGCACGGGAGUCCAGCCAACAUAUCCCGCUUUAUUACGUAUUUUAUUUUAUUCAUUUAUUAAGUGGUAACAUUUUAAUAGGAUAAAUGCACGCAUUGGAAGUGGAGGAGCGCUCUGUGUGACUUUUUAGCUGCUCUGAUACGUUAAUGCCAUUAGCUUAGCUUGCCGUCGUGUGAGGCUGUAUGUGUUUCUCCAUAAAGGAUUGUUUCAAUUAUUGUCAAGGUCCUCAUCUUGGUUUAGGCUUUUGGUAAACUUGGCUUGAGCUUGAUGAAACAGUUCAGCGGUUCCUGAGCGAUGUCCCAGAUCCGUGAGCUUCAGUGGACCACGGCAAAUUAUCCUGAUGUUGCGCUACCCAAUUAUGUUGAAGAAACCGAAACACCAUUUGUGUCUCAAAAGCCAUCAGCUCCAUGCCGUGACCUCACCGGCUACACGCUACUUUGAUAACCCCUGAAAGGUCGACUGGGGAAAGGUCAGAAGAUGAGGUGUGUUGGUGUACGCCCGGCGGACCAGCCCAUCCUGUGACGACUUGGUCCGCCCCACUACUAACGUCAGUGCUCAACAUGGACAGGAAGUGACCUGAAAAGGGGCACAGGCCAAUCCGGGUUCAGAUGGUCCACCUCGCCUCGUAUGCCAAACUAAACUUUUUACGAGGAUGGGAGGAGAUGAGGAGAAAGAACAAUAAAUAAUAAAAUAAAAAGAAUCUGUGAAAAGUU